UUUAGUCCACCGAUAUCAAGGAACUGGUCAAUUUGGAUAUGUAGCUCUAAAAUUCCUCCUGAUAGGCAUCAACUAAGCUACCUCCUCAAGCACAGAUAAGGCUGCCAAGUUAGAUAAAGGUCUACAAUACAGCAGAUGACCAAAUGUCACAUACAUGGCAUGAUUGAAAAACCUUCAUGAUUUGGACUUGGCCUUGGAUGCCCUUAAUAGAAACCUUCUACAGGGAGAGGAUUGUGUUCCAACGUAAGUUUGACGAUAGCUCCCAAUCAAUGUGUCAUUUGCUUAUUGGCGCCUGGAUUUUUGCUGUGGAGGGUAUCCACUACCCAUUACUGGUGGUUCUUUCCUCCGCAAAUGUUGCUGCUGAUGAGACUGUGCAGCUACACCCCGUGGCAUCAGCAAGCCAGCUGGAUUCAUUCCACCUCCCAUCC
rnacentral:misc_RNA from 1 species